GUGACGUGUUUGCAAGCGGACAUGUAAGCCCGAAAGUUGGGUAUCGGUCGUGAGCCAUUCGGAACACGUCUGCAUCGAAACGGGAGCUGGAUUCUGGUGCGGCUGACAACGGUAAUAACGACAUGCAGUAAUGAGGAUGGCACCAGUAUAAAGCAACACACUCCACACACUAAACAGAAGCUGCUGCCUGCUACAACAAGGCCAUUGUGUGGACAUUGGCUGCUACUACAAGAGUCCAUGCCAAGCAUACCUUGGUCAUCACAGGAGCUCCUAUCCACACCAACAGAAAGGGGCUGGAGCUGAAUUUGCAAGGCUUUUACACCACGAACAAAGAAGCGCAUGCAGAAGAAUUUACAUGAGAUAUCAAGUCUGCAGAGCACUGUGUCAAGACUGAAAAGAGCUUCAGCCACCAUUCCACCAGCGCGGACAAAUUGGCUUAGUCAUCCAGGUAACUCAAAAAGGACUUUAUGGAAAUUCUUCGUCUUCAGAUGCGCCUGCAACUUCUGAUCAAGCACGGACGACGCUGGCCAAAAGAGUUCCAUCAGUUUGCCCUUAAUCAGCUUCCUGGCCAUGUCAAUUCCAUUUGUGCCAAGUGUAAUUUUUCUUCUAUAAAUGCAAGCUUUUUCAUUGCCCAUUCUCGUUAGAGAUCAUUCAUCCUCAUCCAAACAUAAAGGUCAACUGAUUCUUCGCUGAUACUUAAUACCAGUCAUUGUCUAGUAGCAUAACAUAUCUGUAGCAGUACCUUUUAGUGCAUGUUGUCAUGCACAAUUCCUCUCCUGAAAUAGCUGAUGCAACAUCGACAUGUUUCUUGCAUUAACCUACGCACUGUUUGCUAUGCACCAUUUUACUUUUCUUGAUGUUUUUGGCCUUCAAUGCUUGCAGAGCAGGGUGGCUUCUCUCUUGAAUGCAAGCUUUCUCAUUUUCCAUAUUCCUAGUCUCGUUGAUGGUUGCUCUUCUUCCUCGAUAGCCUGGGUCUUUGCGCAAGCUACACUGAAUGAUAGAUUGCAGAAUCUGGUUUUGCUGCCCCACUUGGUUGUGGUCGCCGUGUUACAUUUCUCGGAUGUGGGGGCCUGCUCAGUUACAUUGGUAAGCAGUCUCUCGAGGUAAGCAUUUGCUCCUGCAGUCCGCACAGCGACAUAGACUCCCAAUUUACACACCAUGAUUCGUGCUCCCCGUUCAGCCUUUCCUGCUGCAGCCAUGUGCAAAUUGUGCCUGCGGCCUUUCUCACUCGCAAUUAAGCACGAACGGAGACAAGCAUACGUGCUUACAUGGUCCAACGUGUUUGAAGUUCAUAGCCACAUGGGUGGAAAGGCCCGCAUAAAUGGCUGCCGAAGGUGAUGCCCACGAAAGCGACUUGUCCAUAUUGAGACAAAGUGGGACACCAAAUGUGAGCCACACAUUAGUGGCCCUCGAUAGAAAAGAAACAUGCAGGUUGGAAAGGAGUUAACGCUAAAAUGCCGGAUAGUCCAUUUCGCUGUGUUGUUUGU